CAGCCGCCGCGGGAAAACGAAGGGGGCUAGCGUUGCUCGGAAUUACUGGGCGUAAAGGGAGCGUAGGCGGGUCGUUUAGUCAGAGGUGAAAUCCCGGGGCUCAACCUCGGAACUGCCUUUGAUACUGGCGACCUUGAGUAUGGGAGAGGUGAGUGGAACUCCGAGUGUAGAGGUGAAAUUCGUAGAUAUUCGGAAGAACACCAGUGGCGAAAGCGACUCACUGGCCCAUUACUGACGCUGAGGCUCGAAAGCGUGGGGAGCAAACAGGAUUAGAUACCCCAGUAGUCCCUGUCUCUUAUAC
rnacentral:rRNA from 1 species